AGCUGAGAAGGUUAUAAAGCUUGUAUAAAAAAGGAAGAUCUGCAACUCUGUAAAGUAUUUGGAGCACACUGAAAAAAGACUCGGUUAAGAGUUAGGUCAAAGAGGUGGGAGUAUUUGCACUUCAUUGUGCCCAUGGCAAUGAUUUGGAAGCGAAUGGUUUCGAACAGCAGCAAUACGCUCUCAAUGACACAUUUUGUUCCUAGUGGAUUCUCAAGAUUUUUCUCCAAAUCCAGCUAGUACAUAGUGAAGGUUGGAAUUUCGAAGUUUGUAAGUGGAGUUGGCAAGGGUGUUGAAACCCAUGCAGAAAAACUUGAAAAAGAGAUUGGUGAUUUCCAGAAGCUGCUUGUCACCCGCACUCUCAAGCUCAAGAAACUUGGCAUUCCUUGCAAACAUAGGAAGCUAAUCUUGAAAUAUGCACACAAGUAUCGGCUGGGACUCUGGAGACCUCGAGCUGAACCUGUGAAAUCACAUUCCUAGUCCUUGAAGGCUUGGAACGAUCACUCCUGUUAGGUGGGUGAUGUUCUGUUCAAUCCUAUCCCCUCACUUGAAGAAACACACCGUAUGUAGUACCUGUUUGAUGGUUUUGACGUACAAAAGAUGUUCUUCUACAACCUGUUCUAUUUUGGCUGUCAAAACUGCUAUCAAUUUCAUUUUUGUCAAAAAUCACAUAGCUUGAUGUUGAAUUUUGGACGCUUAGAUAUCUUAAGAAGCUGCUCUUUAGUUGGGGGGGAAGGGUUGAAAGGGAAGCUGCUUUUUUAUUUGAAACUUAUUACCCUUUUCAAAUAAAAACUGAAAAAAUAUCUCUCUC